rnacentral:rRNA from 1 species
GACAGAGGAUGCAAGCGUUAUCCGGAAUGAUUGGGCGUAAAGCGUCUGUAGGUGGCUUUUUAAGUCCGCCGUCAAAUCCCAGGGCUCAACCCUGGACAGGCGGUGGAAACUACCAAGCUGGAGUACGGUAGGGGCAGAGGGAAUUUCCGGUGGAGCGGUGAAAUGCGCAGAUAUCAGGAGGAACACCGAUGGCGAAGGCAGGGAUCUCUGGGCAUUAACUGACGUGAGGAGCGAAAGCGUGGGGAGCGAACGG